rnacentral:rRNA from 1 species
CGGCGGACGGGUGAGUAAUGUCUGGGAAACUGCCUGAUGGCGGGGGAUAACUACUGGAAACGGUAGCUAAUACCGCAUAAUGUCUACGGACCAAAGAGGGGACCUUCGGGCCUCUUGCCAUCAGAUGAACCCAUAUGGGAUUAGCUAGUAGGUAAGGUAACGGCUUACCUAGGCGACGAUCCCCAGCUGGUCUGAGAGGAUGAUCAGCCACACUGGGACUGAGACACGGCCCAG